GCAUAGUGGCAUGCACCUAUAGUCUCAGCUACUCAGGAAGCUGAGGCAGGAGGAUCACUUGAGUCCAAGGGUUCUAAGCUGCAGUCCACUAUGUUGAUCAGGUGUCUGCAACAAGUCCAUCAUCAAUAUGGUAUCUGCUCAGGAGUGGGGAACUACCACGUUACCUAAGGAGGGCUGAACGCCCAGAUCAGAAACAGAGCAGGUCACAACUCUUGUACUGAUCAGUAGUGGGAACAAGCUUGUGAAUAGCCAGUACACUCCAGCCUGAGCAAAAGAGCAAGACCCCAACUGU
rnacentral:SRP_RNA from 1 species